UGUGAACAUACCUACUGUUGCUUCGGCGGGAUUGCCCCGGGCGCCUCGUGCGCCCCGGAUCAGGCGCCCGCCUAGGAAACUUAACUCUUGUUUUAUUUUGGAAUCUUCUGAGUAGUUUUUACAAAUAAAUAAAAACUUUCAACAACGGAUCUCUUGGUUCUGGCAUCGAUGAAGAACGCAGCGAAAUGCGAUAAGUAAUGUGAAUUGCAGAAUUCAGUGAAUCAUCGAAUCUUUGAACGCACAUUGCGCCCGCCAGUAUUCUGGCGGGCAUGCCUGUCUGAGCGUCAUUUCAACCCUCAUGCCCCUAGGGCGUGGUGUUGGGGAUCGGCCAAAGCCCGCGAGGGACGGCCGGCCCCUAAAUCUAGUGGCGGACCCGUCGUGGCCUCCUCUGCGAAGUAGUAAUAUUCCGCAUCGGACAGCGACGAGCCCCUGCCGUUAAACCCCCAACUUUCCAAGGUUGACCUCAGAUCAGGUAGGAAUACCCGCUGAACUUAAGCAUAUCAAUA
rnacentral:rRNA from 1 species